UUAGCGGCGGACGGGUGAGUAAUGCCUAGGAAUCUGCCUGGUAGUGGGGGAUAACGUUCCGAAAGGAACGCUAAUACCGCGUACGUCCUACGGGAGAAAGCAGGGGACCUUCGGGCCUUGCGCUAUCAGAUGAGCCUAGGUCGGAUUAGCUAGUUGGUGAGGUAAUGGCUCACCAAGGCGACGAUCCGUAACUGGUCUGAGAGGAUGAUCAGUCACACUGGAACUGAGACACGGUCCAGACUCCUACGGGAGGCAGCAGUGGGGAAUAUUGGACAAUGGGCGAAAGCCUGAUCCAGCCAUGCCGCGUGUGUGAAGAAGGUCUUCGGAUUGUAAAGCACUUUAAGUUGGGAGGAAGGGCAGUAAGUUAAUACCUUGCUGUUUUGACGUUACCGACAGAAUAAGCACCGGCUAACUUCGUGCCAGCAGCCGCGGUAAUACGAAGGGUGCAAGCGUUAAUCGGAAUUACUGGGCGUAAAGCGCGCGUAGGUGGUUCGUUAAGUUGGAUGUGAAAGCCCCGGGCUCAACCUGGGAACUGCAUCCAAAACUGGCGAGCUAGAGUACGGUAGAGGGUGGUGGAAUUUCCUGUGUAGCGGUGAAAAUGCGUAGAUAUAGGAAGGAACACCAGUGGCGAAGGCGACCACCUGGACUGAUACUGACACUGAGGUGCGAAAGCGUGGGGAGCAAACAGGAUUUAGAUACCCUGGGUAGUCCACGCCGUAAACGAUGUCAACUAGCCCGUUGGAAUCCGUUGAGAU
rnacentral:rRNA from 1 species